CACGUAGGGCGCAAGCGUUGUCCGGAAUUAUUGGGCGUAAAGAGCUCGUAGGUGGUUUGUUACGUCUGCUGUGAAAUCCUAGGGCUUAACCCUGGGCUUGCAGUGGAUACGGGCAGACUAGAGGUAGGUAGGGGAGAAUGGAAUUCCUGGUGUAGCGGUGAAAUGCGCAGAUAUCAGGAGGAACACCGGUGGCGAAGGCGGUUCUCUGGGCCUGUUCUGACGCUGAGGAGCGAAAGCGUGGGGAGCGAACAGG
rnacentral:rRNA from 1 species